rnacentral:rRNA from 1 species
UGAGUACGAGAUGCUACGGCAUCGAAGCAGUCUAUGUCAUACUUCCAAGAAAAGCUUGCACUGUCAGAAACAGAUAAUGCCUGUACCAUAACCGACACAGGUGGGUAGGUAGAGUAUACUAAGGGGCGCGAGAUAACUCUCUCUAAGGAACUCGGCAAAAUGACUCCGUAACUUCGGGAGAAGGAGUGCCUUAUUUUUAAGGUUGCAAUAACAAGAUCCAAGCAACUGUUUACCAAAAACACAGGUCUCCGCUAAGUCGUAAGACGAUGUAUGGGGGCUGACGCCUGCCCAGUGCCAGAAGGUUAAAGAAGUCGGUUAGCAUUCGCGAAGCUGGUAACUGAAGCCCUGGUGAACGGCGGCCGUAACAAUAACGGUCCUAAGGUAGCGAAAUUCCUUGUCGGGUAAGUUCCGACCCGCACGAAAGGCGUAAUGAUUUGGAUACUGUCUCGGAGAGGGGCUCGGUGAAAUAGACUUGUCUGUGAAGAUGCGGACUACCUGCACCUGGACAGAAAGACCCUAUGAAGCUUUACUGUAACUUGAAAUUGAAAUUGGACUUUAUUUGCGCAGUAUAGGUGGGAGGCGUUGAAAAUAUUCUUGCGGGAAUAUUGGAGCCAUCAGUGAGAUACCACUCUUGUAAUGUUAGAUUUCUAACUUUAUAUCAUUAUCUGGUUAAAGAACAGUUUCAGGCGGGCAGUUUGACUGGGGCGGUCGCCUCCCAAAUGGUAACGGAGGCGCACAAAGGUUUCCUCUGAACGGGUAGAAAUCGUAUCUAGAGUGUAAAGGCAUAAGGAAGCUUGACUGUGAGACCUACAAGUCGAGCAGGGACGAAAGUCGGCCUUAGUGAUCUGACGGUGCUGAGUGGAAAGGCCGUCACUCAACGGAUAAAAGUUACUCUAAGGGUAACAGGCUGAUCUCCCCCAAGAGUUCACAUCGACGGGGAGGUUUGGCACCUCGAUGUCGGCUCAUCGCAUCCUGGGGCGGUAGUACGUCCCAAGGGUUGGGCUGUUCGCCCAUGAAAGCGGUACGCGAGCUGGGUUCAGAACGUCGUGAGACAGUUCGGUCCAUAUCCGGUGUAGGCGUUAGAAUAUUGAGAGGAGCCUUCUUUAGUACGAGAGGACCGAGAAGGACAUACCUCUGGUGUACCAGUUAUCGUGCCAACGGUAAACGCUGGGUAGCUAUGUAUGGAAUGGAUAACCGCUGAAAGCAUCUAAGUGGGAAGCCCACCUCAAGAUAAG